rnacentral:snoRNA from 1 species
AACCAAUAAAAAUCGUGCGGAUUUUUGCAUCCAGGACUCUAAAACCGUGUUGCUAGGGCCGCGCGCUACGCGGCCACAGCGUCAAGUCCAUCGGAGAGAUCAGUUGGUUCAUCUCAACGCCCUUUCUUCCUGCCGGGCGCUCACUGGCAGGGGGAGGGCUGGUAGAACAGACAUUC